CCUACGGGCGGCAGCAGUGGGGAAUAUUGCACAAUGGGGGAAACCCUGAUGCAGCGACGCCGCGUGGGUGACGAAGUAUUUCGGUAUGUAAAGCCCUAUCAGCAGGGAAGAAGAUGACAGUACCUAACCAAGAAGCCCCGGCUAACUACGUGCCAGCAGCCGCGGUAAUACGUAGGGGGCAAGCGUUAUCCGGAUUUACUGGGUGUAAAGGGAGCGUAGGUGGCAUGGCAAGCCAGAAGGGAAAACCCGGGGCUUAACCCCGCGGAUUGCUUUUGGAACUGUCAGGCUGGAGUGCAGGAGGGGCAGGCGGAAUUCCUGGUGUAGCGGUGAAAUGCGUAGAUAUCAGGAGGAACACCGGUGGCGAAGGCGGUCUGCUGGACUGUAACUGACACUGAGGCUCGAAAGCGUGGGGAGCAAACAGGAUUAGAUACCCGUGUAGUC
rnacentral:rRNA from 1 species